UUUAAAUUUAGAGUUUGAUCCUGGCUCAGGACGAACGCUGGCGGCGUGCUUAACACAUGCAAGUCGAGCGAUGAAGCUUCCUUCGGGAAGUGGAUUAGCGGCGGACGGGUGAGUAACACGUGGGUAACCUGCCUCAAAGUGGGGGAUAGCCUUCCGAAAGGAAGAUUAAUACCGCAUAAUAUAAGAGAAUCGCAUGAUUUUUUUAUCAAAGAUUUAUUGCUUUGAGAUGGACCCGCGGCGCAUUAGCUAGUUGGUAAGGUAAUGGCUUACCAAGGCAACGAUGCGUAGCCGACCUGAGAGGGUGAUCGGCCACAUUGGAACUGAGACACGGUCCAGACUCCUACGGGAGGCAGCAGUGGGGAAUAUUGCGCAAUGGGGGAAACCCUGACGCAGCAACGCCGCGUGGGUGAUGAAGGUCUUCGGAUUGUAAAGCCCUGUUUUCUAGGACGAUAAUGACGGUACUAGAGGAGGAAGCCACGGCUAACUACGUGCCAGCAGCCGCGGUAAUACGUAGGUGGCGAGCGUUGUCCGGAUUUACUGGGCGUAAAGGGUGCGUAGGCGGAUGUUUAAGUGGGAUGUGAAAUCCCCGGGCUUAACCUGGGGGCUGCAUUCCAAACUGGAUAUCUAGAGUGCAGGAGAGGAAAGCGGAAUUCCUAGUGUAGCGGUGAAAUGCGUAGAGAUUAGGAAGAACACCAGUGGCGAAGGCGGCUUUCUGGACUGUAACUGACGCUGAGGCACGAAAGCGUGGGUAGCAAACAGGAUUAGAUACCCUGGUAGUCCACGCCGUAAACGAUGGAUACUAGGUGUAGGGGGUAUCAACUCCCCCUGUGCCGCAGUUAACACAAUAAGUAUCCCGCCUGGGGAGUACGGUCGCAAGAUUAAAACUCAAAGGAAUUGACGGGGGCCCGCACAAGCAGCGGAGCAUGUGGUUUAAUUCGAAGCAACGCGAAGAACCUUACCUGGACUUGACAUCCCUUGCAUAGCCUAGAGAUAGGUGAAGCCCUUCGGGGCAAGGAGACAGGUGGUGCAUGGUUGUCGUCAGCUCGUGUCGUGAGAUGUUAGGUUAAGUCCUGCAACGAGCGCAACCCUUGUUAUUAGUUGCUACCAUUAAGUUGAGCACUCUAAUGAGACUGCCUGGGUAACCAGGAGGAAGGUGGGGAUGACGUCAAAUCAUCAUGCCCCUUAUGUCCAGGGCUACACACGUGCUACAAUGGUAGGUACAAUAAGACGCAAGACCGUGAGGUGGAGCAAAACUUAUAAAACCUAUCUCAGUUCGGAUUGUAGGCUGCAACUCGCCUACAUGAAGCUGGAGUUGCUAGUAAUCGCGAAUCAGAAUGUCGCGGUGAAUACGUUCCCGGGCCUUGUACACACCGCCCGUCACACCAUGAGAGCUGGUAACACCCGAAGUCCGUGAGGUAACCGUAAGGAACCAGCGGCCGAAGGUGGGAUUAGUAAUUGGGGUGAAGUCGUAACAAGGUAGCCGUAGGAGAACCUGCGGCUGGAUCACCUCCUUUCUA
rnacentral:rRNA from 1 species